GUUUGCAGUCAAAUGCAGGAGUGUUCAUGCUUAAAGCAACAUGCUCAGUUGCUCACAAACUGGACAGACAUUUGCCUUGGUUCUGCCUGUAAUUAUUACCAUAAUUACCCUUAAUUAUUCAUAAUCUCAAUCACUUUCUUAUUAGACCAACAGAACUAAAUACGAAUAAUUCUGCCCCUCUGUGCUGUGUGUUUGUUUUAGAUAACAAACAAAGGAACUGCACUUGCCCCUUUUUAGAUCCAAAAACCUUCAGUCAAUCAUACAAUCGCUCUCUAUUCAAUUCUUCUUCUUUCUUUAAUCCCAAACACUUGAUAAUGGGUGUGGCGCAAAACAAUCACGACAUGGAGGAGGGGACGCUGGAGAUCGGCAUGGAGUAUAGAACUGUAUCUGGAGUCGCUGGACCUCUUGUUAUACUUGAUAAGGUCAAGGGACCGAAAUAUCAAGAGAUUGUUAAUAUUCGUUUAGGUGAUGGAACAAUCCGCCGUGGUCAAGUCCUUGAAGUUGAUGGGGAGAAAGCUGUUGUUCAGGUUUUUGAAGGAACAUCUGGGAUUGACAACAAAUACACAACUGUCCAAUUUACAGGAGAGGUUCUGAAGACUCCUGUCUCAUUAGAUAUGCUUGGGCGCAUUUUUAAUGGUUCUGGAAAGCCUAUUGAUAAUGGUCCCCCAAUUUUGCCUGAGGCAUACUUGGACAUUUCUGGUAGUUCUAUUAACCCUAGUGAGAGAACCUAUCCUGAAGAAAUGAUA
rnacentral:misc_RNA from 1 species